rnacentral:rRNA from 1 species
GCCGGGGCGUGGUGUUAUACAUGCAAGUCGAACGCGUCUCCGUUAAUGAUUUUAGGUGCUUGCACUUGAAAGAUUUAACAUUGAGACGAGUGGCGAACUGGUGAGUAACACGUGGGUAACCUGCCCUUGAAGUAGGGGAUAACACUUGGAAACAGGUGCUAAUACCGUAUAACAACCAAAACCACCUGGUUUUGGUUUAAAAGACGGCUUCGGCUGUCACUUUAGGAUGGACCCGCGGCGUAUUAGCUUGUUGGUAAGGUAACGGCUUACCAAGGCGAUGAUACGUAGCCGACCUGAGAGGGUAAUCGGCCACAUUGGGACUGAGACACGGCCCAAACUCCUACGGGAGGCAGCAGUAGGGAAUCUUCCACAAUGGACGAAAGUCUGAUGGAGCAACGCCGCGUGAGUGAUGAAGGGUUUCGGCUCGUAAAACUCUGUUGUUGGAGAAGAACAGGUGUCAGAGUAACUGUUGACAUCUUGACGGUAUCCAACCAGAAAGCCACGGCUAACUACGUGCCAGCAGCCGCGGUAAUACGUAGGUGGCAAGCGUUGUCCGGAUUUAUUGGGCGUAAAGCGAGCGCAGGCGGUUUUUUAGGUCUGAUGUGAAAGCCUUCGGCUUAACCGGAGAAGUGCAUCGGAAACCGGGAGACUUGAGUGCAGAAGAGGACAGUGGAACUCCAUGUGUAGCGGUGAAAUGCGUAGAUAUAUGGAAGAACACCAGUGGCGAAGGCGGCUGUCUGGUCUGUAACUGACGCUGAGGCUCGAAAGCAUGGGUAGCGAACAGGAUUAGAUACCCUGGUAGUCCAUGCCGUAAACGAUGAGUGCUAAGUGUUGGAGGGUUUCCGCCCUUCAGUGCUGCAGCUAACGCAUUAAGCACUCCGCCUGGGGAGUACGACCGCAAGGUUGAAACUCAAAGGAAUUGACGGGGGCCCGCACAAGCGGUGGAGCAUGUGGUUUAAUUCGAUGCUACGCGAAGAACCUUACCAGGUCUUGACAUCUUCUGCCAACCUUAGAGAUUAGGCGUUCCCUUCGGGGACAGAUGACAGGUGCUGCAUGGUUGUCGUCAGCUCGUGUCGUGAGAUGUUGGGUUAAGUCCCGCAACGAAGCGCAACCCUAUG